rnacentral:tRNA from 1 species
GCGGAUGUGGCGGAACUGGUAGACGCGCACGGUUCAGGUCCGUGUGGGCGAAAGCCCGUGGAGGUUCAAGUCCUCUCAUCCGCA